rnacentral:lncRNA from 10 species
CAUACUUCUGCUUGUUCUCUGGCACUUGCUAUCAGUACAAGAAGAAUUUCCUCUGGGUAGUGGCUGCUACUUGUUGUGAGUCUGGGGGAAACACUAUUGGAGGUGACAAGAGUCCAAACUGCAAUGAUGUGCCACAUUCACCCAGCUGCAUCUGAACUGAAGCAGGGCCCCAGCCAAGCCUUGCCUGAGAUCAGCAGACCCUCGAUGACCCACAAAAAUGUUGCUUGAAAAAAAAAAUACACGCACUGAAAAUGGCCAGAAUUGGUGAGGAUAAGGAUCUGCUUAGGACACAGAAGUCAAUUACACCCAAACCCUGGAUGGAAUCAGAAUCAGAAUCAGCCAUGCAAUGAGGAAGAAGAAAUGUAAGUUGCGGCCUGUGAUUCCAACAGUUCUCUUUCUGGAAUGGCUACCAAGAGAAAGGUAUGUGACUCUUCCUUUCAACUCUAAUGAUACAAAUUUAAAUGUGAAAUUAACAAGGUACAAUCUAAUGAGUGAAGGAAACAAAACUGUUUCUGUAAGUCUACAGAUUGCUUAGCAAGAAGACCCUUUUCUCCUCUCCCCACUCCCCACCCCUACAACCCCUUCAGAAGUGUUCAUUAAACAGCCAUGAUACAGAAACAGAAAUAAGAAAACAAACAAACAAAAAAAACAACCACCAGGCAGGUCCUGCAAAUCACAGUGUCCAACAGAAUCAACACUGGUAAACACACUCCCACUGGAGUACGGAGAAAGGGGAUCCACAGAAGAGCCUAAUCCUGAACCACUUCCAUGUAUUUGCCCAUCCAUUUCUCCUCUCUGGCCAAUACUCUUCAUAUUCAAAUUCUACCAGUCCUUCAAAGAUCAGAUUAAGUUCCAAAAUUUCAAAAGCCUUCUCAGCCUACUCUUACAGCUGAAUAGUGCAUACCAACUUCAAUUAAUUAUAAACUCAUGUUUCAUUUUGUAUUAUUUAAUAGAAACAUUGGAAUUUAAUCUUUGUGUUUUUUACAUUUUGUUUUCUCCACUAGAUUACCAACUUGAUGACAUGAACCACUUAUUAGAAUUCUUUUGUAGCUUGUAACUGUAUUAGGCACAGUUUCUUGAAGAAAUUAAGCACAUAUUUACAUGUUUUAAAUAACUUUGUAUUGAUUUGCAUAUGUAUGAAGGAGGUAUGUCAUACUUGGCUUUAGAAAAAAGUCUCGUCUAAUAUUCAAGGAACCAGUCUGUGACCUUUGUUUAUUAUGUAAUUUUUUGAAACACAAUCUAUAUUUACAAUCCUAUUAGCUGUUACUGGAUAUAUAUUUAUGGAAGAAUAUAACACUACUUCUUCUUUAUUACAUACAAUUUGGAUACUCUUCUGCCUUCGCCAUUAACUAUACAUUAAGACAGUUCACAUAACUUUAUUUUUUAUUUUCUGUUUUUUUUUAGAGAUGGAGGUCUAACUAUGUUGCCCAGGCUGGCCUCGAACUCCUGGGCUCAAGUAAUCCUUCACCUCAGUCUCUCAAGUUGCAGGGAUUACUGGCUUGAGCCACUGUGCCUGGCAGUUUACACAACUUUAAUUGCUGGUUUAUGUAUAAAUUUCCUUCUAUAAUCUAGUCAGAAUCUAGUCAACCUACUACUGCAUAAAAAUUUGCUGAAUAUCUCCCAAGAGCUAGCCCUCAUAAAGGGUUUUAAGGCUCUCAAUAAGCUUAAUAUACAGAAAUAAACUGCAUUGGCUGUAUAUUUGCACAAAAGUUGUAAACUUGGCUGCUGCAGAGCAAUUUAUGUACAUACGGUACCUGUUUCUUUGGCUGUCCUUUUUUUGUGUAACAAUUACUAAUAUACAUUCCCUUUUAUCUAAAAAAAUCCCUAUGUACUAAUGAAACCUCUGCCAGAGGAUAUAAGGAACACGAAAAUAGUAUAAGACACAUUUCUUGUGCCUGAUGAAUUUACACCCUUGUCAGGAAGAUAAACAUAUGUAUAAAUUGUACCUACAGAAAAUACAUAAUAUAGUGUGAUCAGACUGAAUGACUUGGUAACUGAGAAAAAUAAAAAUAAACUGAAUAGGAAAAAAUGUCCUAAGCAUUGCAUUUAAAUAUCAUACCUGGAUUAGGACUCAUUUUAUGGGCAUAUAUCAGUGCAAGUAGAGAACAAAGUGAUACAUCUUGUUUAUUUUUAAUAGCCUCAAAUUCUCGAAGAGCUUCUUGAGUUUUACCUGAAAAUCAAGAUUAUGAUAUGAAAAACUGUUCUUAGUGCAAAGCAAGAAUUUAAAACUGAUGGAACAUGUUUAAUGAUUAACACGUACCUUCCAUUAAUGUGCCAUAGGCAUGAUAAAACCUGAAGACUGGAUCACUUCCAUACCUCUUAAUUCCUUCACUGGCAACCAGUAAUACAUGAUGGAAAUAUCUCUCUUGACAAUAGUAAUUAAUCAAAGUCUAAAUGGAAAUAAUGAAAAAAUGUUAUAAAGGAAUUCUGGUGCUCUGAAAUACUCUAAGAAGCAGAUAAUAAUCUAACAUCUAGAAUAAUGUAAAAUUCAGGCAAUGUGACUUUUUUCUUCCAAGUUUCUUAAAAUACUAUUAAUGGCUAGAACUCAAUGCUAAGGA